rnacentral:rRNA from 1 species
CAGCCGCCGCGGUAAUACGUAGGAUGCGAGCGUUAAUCGGAUUUACUGGGCGUAAAGCGUGCGCAGGCGGCCCGUUAAGACAGGUGUGAAAUCCCUGGGCUCAACCUAGGAAUUGCGCUUGUGACUGGCGGGCUCGAGUACGGUAGAGGGGGGUGGAAUUCCUGGUGUAGCAGUGAAAUGCGUAGAGAUCAGGAGGAACACCGAUGGCGAAGGCAGCCCCCUGGGCCUGUACUGACGCUCAUGCACGAAAGCGUGGGGAGCAAACAGGAUUAGAUACCCUGGUAGUCCACGCCCUAAACGAUGGGUACUAGCCGUUUGGUGCGCGAGAGCGCUGAGUGGCGAAGCUAACGCGUGAAGUACCCCGCCUGGGGAGUACGGCCGCAAGGUUGAAACUUAAAGGAAUUGGCGGG